rnacentral:rRNA from 1 species
UCUUGCAACAAACAUAUAAGAGGUCCCGCCUGCCCUGUGACUUUUUAGUUUAACGGCCGCGGUAUUUUGACCGUGCGAAGGUAGCGUAAUCACUUGUCUUUUAAAUGGAGACCUGUAUGAAUGGCAUAACGAGGGCUAAGCUGUCUCCCUCCCCCAGUCAAUGAAAUUGAUCUCCCUGUGCAGAAGCAGGGAUAUAUACAUAAGACGAGAAGACCCUAUGGAGCUUCAGACACAAGGCAGUCCAUGUAAAUAUCUCGUUUAACAGAAUAAACAAAAUGGCCCCUGCCCUUUGUCUUUGGUUGGGGCGACCGCGGAGAAACAAAAAUCCUCCACGUGGAACAAGGCCUUUUCCUUUAAAACCAGAGCCACAGCUCUAGUUAACAGAACAUCUGACCUACAAGAUCCGGCAAAGCCGAUCAACGGACCGAGUUACCCUAGGGAUAACAGCGCAAUCCCCUUUUAGAGCCCAUAUCGACAAGGGGGUUUACGACCUCGAUGUUGGAUCAGGACAUCCUAAUGGUGCAGCCGCUAUUAAGGGUUCGUUUGUUCAACGAUUAAAGUCC